AGGCGGGCCCAGGCCGGGGUCCCAGCGCCCUCUACUGCUACCUCCUGGACUCGCACCUUCCAAGGCAUCUCGGAAAGCAGCUACCACACCUCCUGUUAACCCAUCAUCCCCCCUCCGCCCCCUCCCCCUCCCCCCCAACCCCACUCCCCACCCCCCACUCGCUGGGGACCAGCCAUUGAUGUUGAUGGGACCUUUGAGACAUUUUGACGGAGAAGGACUUUAGGGAGAUGGGCUUCCAGUGUAAAGUGUGACUGGAUAAGUUAGGAAGCCCAGAUUUUAACUGUCUUUCUCUGCCACUGCCUUGGGUGAGGGAACAUGUACAGAUAUUACACCGUGCCCCAUUUAAUUUCUUCUUUCCCAAAAGUUGCUUAAGGGGGAGCCCAAAUACAAGUGACUCAUGUGUCUUCUUGUUUUUAAUCCUAGGACCACUACAUCUACACCAAGCUCAUCUGAUCUGCUUCUUUUAGGACAUUAAGAGAAGAUUCAUCUUCGUUCUUUAUUGUCACUGUCCCCCCGGCCUCCUGAAAGUUGUUUCUCUGCCUUCUGAACAUGAACAGAC
rnacentral:lncRNA from 1 species